AUACUUACCUGGCCAAAGGGAGACACCGUGAUCACCAAGGCGGUUCACCCAGGGCGGUUCACCCAGGGCGAGGCUCGGCCAUUGCACUCCGGCUGUGCUGACCCCUGCGAAUUCCCAAAUGUGGAAAUCUCGAUUGCAUAAUUUCUGGUAGUGGGGGACUGCGUUCGCCCUUCCCCCUG
rnacentral:snRNA from 1 species